rnacentral:rRNA from 1 species
CUGCUGCCUCCCGUAGGAGUUUGGGCCGUGUCUCAGUCCCAAUGUGGCCGGUCACCCUCUCAGGUCGGCUACUGAUCGUCGCCUUGGUGGGCCGUUACCCCGCCAACCAGCUAAUCAGACGCGGGUCCAUCUCAUACCACCGGAGUUUUUCACACCGGAACAUGUGUCCCCUGUGCGCUUAUGCGGUAUUAGCAGUCAUUUCUAACUGUUACUCCCCCUGUAUGAGGCAGGUUACCCACGCGUUACUCACCCCGUCCGCCA